rnacentral:rRNA from 1 species
GAUGAACGCUAGCGAUAGGCUUAACACAUGCAAGUCGAGGGACGGGCGCACGGGUGCGUAACGCGUAUGCAACUUGCCUCACAGAGGGGGAUAACCCGUCGAAAGACGGACUAAUACCGAGUACUGUGAGAUAGGCAUGCGUUCCAUUAGCUAGUUGGUGAGGUAACGGCACACCAAGGCAACGCUGGGUAGGGGAACUGAGAGGUUGACACCCCACGAUGGUACUGCGACACGGACCAGACUCCGACGGGAGACAGGAGUAAGGAAUAUUAGUCAAUAGGCUAGGGCCUGAACCAGCCGAGUCGCGUGAAGGAUGACUGGGUAUGGAUGGUAAGCUUCUUUUGUAGGAGAAGAGGUACCCUACGAAUAAGCAUCGGCUAACUCCGUGCCAGCCGCCGCGGUAAUAC